rnacentral:lncRNA from 1 species
AAGGAUGCAUUCAGAAAGCCUGAUCAACACCUCAUUUGGAAGCUGAAUUGAAAAUAGAACAGUAACAGAAACUUCUGUAUUUCAAAGGAGUUUUCUGAUGUCAGGUUUCAAACCUUAAAUAGUCCUCACACAAUGUGUACUGUUCAAAGAAGUCCCAUGGAUGGAGAAUACAAAUAUUAACUGAGGAUUUGGAAACUGAAGAACUAAACAGCAGUAGCUUACCUAAGAUUUAUGUGCUACACAUUUCCAUUUCAAAUUGGCACCCACUUACAGCAGUACAGUGGUUUUGAAUCAACAAAUCCUUGGACUGGAUUAUCUACAACUGAAUGUCAAAAUAUACAUAUGCAGUGGAACUGAGGAGGAAGGAGGGAGAAGAGUGCAGAGGCUAAUAUCGGUACAUACAGCUUUUGUGACUUAAAUUCAUAGGUGUCGUUCUGAAAUCUUUCUUCACUACCAAAGGUGUUUUGCCAUCAAACUGCAAUUCUUUCAUUUCACUGCAUGAUCAAAAGAGAUUCCACAGAGAGAUUUAAUCCUCUAUUCCACCUUUAAAGAACUUGUGCCAGAAUUUGCAAUUUGAUACAAUUUAAACAGUGAAUUUCAUGCAUUGCCUUAAGAUCUAUUUUUGUCUGAUGACAUAUAUUGCUAUUUCUGACUGAUCUUGAGAAAGCUAAAAAAAAAAAAAAAAAGUCAGAGUGGUUUCAGUCAUGGUUUUCAAUAAACAUUUCGUUAGAGCACUAUAAGUAUAAAUC